rnacentral:rRNA from 1 species
GCCUAAUACAUGCAAGUCGAGCGAACAGAUAAGGAGCUUGCUCCUUUGACGUUAGCGGCGGACGGGUGAGUAACACGUGGGUAACCUACCUAUAAGACUGGGAUAACUUCGGGAAACCGGAGCUAAUACCGGAUAACAUUUGGAACCGCAUGGUUCUAAAGUGAAAGAUGGUUUUGCUAUCACUUAUAGAUGGACCCGCGCCGUAUUAGCUAGUUGGUAAGGUAACGGCUUACCAAGGCGACGAUACGUAGCCGACCUGAGAGGGUGAUCGGCCACACUGGAACUGAGACACGGUCCAGACUCCUACGGGAGGCAGCAGUAGGGAAUCUUCCGCAAUGGGCGAAAGCCUGACGGAGCAACGCCGCGUGAGUGAUGAAGGGUUUCGGCUCGUAAAACUCUGUUAUUAGGGAAGAACAAAUGUGUAAGUAACUGUGCACGUCUUGACGGUACCUAAUCAGAAAGCCACGGCUAACUACGUGCCAGCAGCCGCGGUAAUACGUAGGUGGCAAGCGUUAUCCGGAAUUAUUGGGCGUAAAGCGCGCGUAGGCGGUUUCUUAAGUCUGAUGUGAAAGCCCACGGCUCAACCGUGGAGGGUCAUUGGAAACUGGGAAACUUGAGUGCAGAAGAGGAAAGUGGAAUUCCAUGUGUAGCGGUGAAAUGCGCAGAGAUAUGGAGGAACACCAGUGGCGAAGGCGACUUUCUGGUCUGUAACUGACGCUGAUGUGCGAAAGCGUGGGGAUCAAACAGGAUUAGAUACCCUGGUAGUCCACGCCGUAAACGAUGAGUGCUAAGUGUUAGG